CGCCCUCCCGCGGCCGGGCUCCCGCAGCCCCCGGAAAAGCCAGCUUUCCUCCCGCCGAGCUCCCCGCUUUUUAAUAAAAUCCAGGUAGCGCCGGUUUAAAGAAUCCCAAAUCUCCAUAUACAGCCCGGGAUUGGAAAAGGUACAUUACACAACCCCCCUUUCAAGUUCCUCUCGCUGGAGCUAAAAAAAAAAAAAAAAAAAAAAAGGCGGGGGGGAGGAGGAGGCUGGGGGAGGGAGCACUCUCCAGCGAAGAAACACGCAUUGUUCCCGGGUGCCCGCCUCCCCCCAAGGCCUGCCUCCGGCCGCCACCCAUUGGUCGCGCGCGCCGCCAAUCACGCGCAUGUAAACACCUUGGCCCCCAGCCAUUCCUAUAAAACCAAUUACGGACCUAGGGGCUCCAGCAGUUUCCAGGCUCCCCUCGGCGGGGUUGAAUGAUCAAAACUGGUGGAGCAAUGGUAAUGCGGGACAGAAAACAGACGACACAUGCGCUCUCUACCCAUCACACGCUUCUCGGAGGGCAAGGUCUAAUCAGACCUGAGAAUGACGGAUGGAUGACAUUUACCACACAGCCUUGCCCGAGAGGCAGAACUUCACCACUGGGCUUUGCAUUGGCCACAAACCUCGAGGCUUCUCCAACCGCUCCCGGCCUUCCUCUCCCCCUCCCCCUUGUUCUGUUUCUGUCUCUCAACACCCUGCCCGCACCGGCACCACAGGUCACAAUUCCAAUUCCAGAUGAUAAAAUGCCCUGCUGCGGGGCAUGGGGCCUGGCUCCCAGAGUGGCUGCCGUGAAUGCAUGACACUCGGCCUUCUCUGGGAAUGGCUGCGCGACGCGUCCCUUCCACACCGCGACCUUGACAUGCCCCCGAGGGAAGGUGGAACCUCGUGUCUCCAGCCAGAUGCAUGAAGUGACACUGCGACUUCCAAGGCAAGGUCAGAAAAGGAGACGCCGGGUCACCCUGUCCAAGCUGGGGCUCAAACUCAGUUGUUUCUGGCCUGGCCAGGCUGUGCUCACCAGGGGGUGCUGAUUGAAUGGAGCGGGUUGGCCUGGGUUCGAGUCCUGGUUCUGCUCUUUCCUGGGUGUGUGUCAUGUUUACAAGCCGUUUCCCCUCGCUGAGCCUUGGUUUUCCUGUUUGUAAAGUGGAGCUGACUGUACCUCCUCUCCUGGGGUUGGGUGAGAGUGUGUGUGCCUCAGUUACCCGUGCACGGGGUACCCCAGAGGCUCAUCAUUCUGAGCACUAGCAGGCGCUCAGGUGGCCUGGGGCCUGGGAGCCCCACACCUAGGUGGCCGCCACCGCCGCACCCCUCUACUCCUGGGUACCCA
rnacentral:lncRNA from 1 species